GACGCGGCGCCGCGUCCUGCGGGGGGCGGAGCCGGGGGCCGCCACGCGCGCUUUUCGCGGCAAAAUUCAAAGGUCGGCAGGGCGGCUCUCCAACCUCCUCCCCCAAGAAGGGACGAGGCGGAACCUGCCACGCGAGGACUGCAACUCCCGGCAUGCUGAGCGCCGGCGCCGGGCGGAGGGGCCCCUACCGGAGGCGCAGGGCAUGCUGGUAUUUGUAGUCCCUUUGCCGAGGAAGUAGGGAUGGCAAAACCAGUGUCAUUUAUUGAUAACAUACUUGGGACAAGGCACUGUAUAAGUGCACUAUCGGCCUUAUUUUAUUUAAUCUUGGCAACAACCAACCCUAUGAGGAAUUUGUUAAAAAUAAUAACCAAUAACAACGGUAGCUACUAUGUAGCAAAGUACUUUACCUAAUCCUCACAACAACAGUGUGAGUGGGUAUUAUCACCCCCAUUUUACAGAUGAGAAAACUGAUAUGAUAGGUGCUAUUAUUAUACUUCCAACUUACGGAGGAAACUGAGGUUAGGAGAUAUGAAGUGACACGGUCCUGGAUGUUUUUGUCCUAAGACUUAUUUUUAGCAGUGAUGUGUUUUUGGCAUCACAGCUGGGAUCUGUGGCGUGCUAACUAUAUAACCCAGCACAGCGCUAAGCAAUUUGCAACUAAACGUUCUAGACUUACCCCACGCCCACAGAAGACAGGCGCUAGCCUUCUCCCUCGCUUAAUAGAUGGGGAAACUGAGGCAGAGUUUCACGUCAACCUGGGGUUCAAAUAUGAAUGUAUCAAACUAUAUUGUGCUUUGCCUUUCACUUUUAAAGAAGCUUCCUGGGUUCUCACAACCCAUGGGGUGGCCCGUCUAGCAGUCUCAUUUACAGAUGGGGAAAUUGAGUCCUGCGUAGGGUAGUUCCCUCAGUUGCCACGUGUCCAUCACACAGCAAUGUAGGAAGCCAGCUUUCUGGGAUAAUAACAAAGAUCCCCCUAGAAAUGCAGAGCAGCAGCCAGACUCCCCCACCCCUCAGGCUAUGCCCGUGUCCUGCCUGGAGUCCCAUUGAACUGGGUGGGAACUCCAGCCCCGCCCUUGCUGGCUGUUGGUCUUGCCAUUGAUCUCCAAGGGUCUGUGCCUCAGUUUCUUGUUUGUGAAAUGAGAGAUAUCAUAAUUCCUACCUUAUAGGGUAGUUUUGAGGGCAAAAUGAAUUCUUGCUUGUAAAGGAUUCAAAACACCCAUUAAGUGCUCAAUAAAUGUCCGCUGUACUCACCCGGAUUGAAGGGCUUCGGAGACCCUAAGGAGUGUAUCCGGCGGACGGGCUGUUUUUAGACUGGAUCUAGCCUACUUCCAGGAGUCAACCCACCCUGCCGGGAGAGGCGCUCGCGACGGACCUCCAGAGCCGGCCCAAGUAGGCCACCAGCCGCCUUAUCUAGGGCAGGAGCUGGCCCUGUUUCAGGCCUCUGAGCGGCUGCUUCGCCCGCGAUUCCCAGCAGCUCCGCUCUAUUUCUCCGCGGCCGCUCCCACCUCCUCCCUUUCCCUCCCCAUGUUGAAGGUAGGGGUGGGGAUUUACCUGGAAAUGUGAUCUGCAGCCAGCUGCUUCCCGCUCCCGCCAGCUGCCAGGGCUGCGAGGACUUCAGGUCACCAUGACUUCACACCUACUAUGUGCCAGGCAUGUGCUCAGUGCUAUUUCCGUCACAUAUCUCCUUUUACCCGCGCAGAAACUCUGUAAGGUAUAUACAAUUACUAUGCACAUCUUACAGCAGAGGAAGGCCACGUGACUUACCCAAGGUCACAUAAAUGAUGGAAUCAAAGUCCAGAGCCCUGACCUUGAUUUACUGCACCUUGUGGCAGCCACUGUUUGACUGUGUGCAACCUUGAGAGGAGUUUCUUCUCUCCUCUCUGGACGUCGGAUUCCCCUGCCAUGAAGUGGAGAGUAGGAGCCAAACCCCAGCGCUUCUCCUCAGCCAGGUGGGGCAGCAGUUCUCAAAGCUCCUGUGUGAUUCCUGAUACAGCCAGGGCUGAGAAUUCCAGGGGAGAAGAUCUCAAAAGGCCCCUCCAUCUCUGAAGCUCUAUAAGUCCAUGAUGGGCUCAUGGUGGAAUUUCUGACAGCAGCAGGCUCCAAGGCAGCUGUCCAGCUGGAGAGCUCAGAGCCUUCUAAGUGCCUGUCAUGGCCCUCCAGGCAGGUGAAUGCCCCGAUCUGUUAACUUUGCAACAAGCUCACGAAGAGGAGCCGAUGGCCUGUGUUACAGAUGCGGAUUCUGAGGCUGGAGUCACUGGCCUUGCUGAAGGUCACACAGAGCCCCUGAGUGGGUGGAGCCAAGAUUUGAACCCCGGUCCGUCUGUUUGCCAUAGAGGGUUUCUGACUUAGCUGCAGUCCUUACCAAACAGGAAAUAGUGAUUGGAGAUGAGGGUGGUCCCCACCAUCCCCGCCUCGAAGUUUGUCUCUGUCCUCUGGUCAGCUGGGCUUGGUUCUCCCAGGCUCUGAGUGGCAGGGAGAUUUCCAGGGGAUUAAACCCAGCCAGCCCCACCUCCCCUCCGACCUGGAAAGGCCAACAGCCCCCGCACACCCCCUCCUGCAACCCCCCCACCAACCAGGUCCUCCUAAGCCUUCCUGGCAGAUCUCCUUUUGUACAAAAAGUUAUUGACUUAUCAAGGUUAAAAUACAUUCAGCGCAGGCCAAUAAAACAGGGAUACCUCUGCAUCCCGGCUGCCACGUGCAGCCUGGUUUUCAUGGCAACAGGCCCUCUUCUGAACAUUAAAUGGUUCAGUUGUGCAAAGUUCAGGCGUUACAUAAACAGAGAGUUAGCAGCAGUAGAAAUCAAUGUCUGGCCAGGCAUGGCCCGGGGAGAUACCAUUGAUCGGGCCCUUUGUCAUCGAUAGGCUGGGUCCCAGCUUCUUGCCCAGCUGUGCUGGGCUCCCUACCGUAGUCCCAGACCUAGGUUCAGACCCAGGGAGCUCCAGGAAGCUACUCCCCACCUUGUCCCUGGCUGGGAUCCAGGAGUUAGGGGAUCUGCUAAACUGCCUGCAGUCAUUCUGUCAACCAUUAUCGCUCAGAGUUGUCACUCCAUGGCCUUAAAAUAUGUUCUCGCCAUUGUUAAUGGAGCGGAUUUCUCAUUGCCUUUGAAACCAUCUUUGCAACAAGGAACAAUCCUGCUGUCUUUAUGUUCAGCAUAAAAACCAGCGAUACAUCAAGAUGUGCCCCAGGUCGAAUAGGCUGGAAUAUGAAACCAAACUGACUGUGUGACCUCGGGUGAGUUGCUUCACCUCUCUGAUCCUCAGCUUCCUAUUCUCUAAAAGACACGAAUGACAGUAUCAACCUCGUGGGGCUGCAAGGGAGGAGAAGAUGAAGAAAUGCAUAUGGAGUCCCUAGCUUGGGCCUGACUCGGAAUGGCUUUUGUCAGGAAACUAACUCUCUGUGUGUCUUCACUCUGGUUCCAGCAGACAGCCCGAUGAUGCAGAAAAAACCAGGGAACUAGGAAGUGAUAUUUGGGUUUAAAUCCAGCUCCAUCACUAGCUGUGUGACCUUAGGCAAGUCACUUCACCAUUCUGAGCCUUAGCAUCCAUUCCCUGACAUGUGUGUGUGUAUAUAUAUAUAGACAGAUAGAUAGAUAGACAGAUAUAGAUAUAGAUAGGUAGAUAGUUGUUGUUGCUUGUUAUUUUUUAUCCCAACAUUCUCUCACAUAAAAUGGUGGAAGCAUUCUUGCAAGAGUGAAGGGAAAGAUACAAUGAGUUCAACCCCACGAAUAUGCUGGGCACAUGGAAAGUGCCCAGUAAAGAUUUACUGAAUGAAAUCCUUCCUCCGGUGUUCCAAUGUCAGAUCUACCCGCCCCUGCAAAAUGGAAAGUCUCAUGGGCUUUCUCUCAGGAAAGGGACAGCUAAGAGGAAAUAAUUGUCGGUUUCACUUAUUGGAAGGCUCUUCAAGUCAGGGACCUGGUCUUUUUCAUCUGCGUAUUAAUGAACUAUGUAUCUAUGUAGGAUACAUACAUGCAUAUGAUCAUCUAUGUAUGGACUGUGAGCAAGUGUGAUAUAUAACACUCAGUGAAGGUUAACCUUUGUUGUCAGUGCUACAAUGGACACUGAGCCUGCAAGAGCAAUAACAACACCAACAAUAGCAAUAAUAAUCACAUCAAUGUUGACCGAGUGCUAGAUGAGGACUUGGAGACCAUCUAAACUGGUCUGGUGCCUGGUGCCAACUCUGAACCAUCAGGAGGGAAUGUCUGGAGCACUGGCUUGGGUUGGUUUUGCUAUCCCAUCUGGGCUCAGUGAGAAUGGUGCUGCAACCGAUUAGCAAUGCCUGCCGUGGGCAAGGAAGGGGAGAGUUAGGGAAGUCAUGCAAUUGAUUAGCAUUUCCUGAUGCUGGUCCAAGCCCCCUCCUUGUACAGAUGGGGAAACUGAAGCUCAGAGAAGGACUAAGACUUGCUCAAGGCCACAUAGCCCAUCAGAAACAAGGCUCCUGAGCCCUCCUCUGCAAUUCCUUGCUGGGCCCUGGUCUAUGUCAGUUAAUCCAGUGGAGAAGAGUCAUUAUUUCUCCAUUACAUUUCCCAGUCUGUUUUCUGGAAGGAAGUUAAUUGAUUUAAAGUUUUUCAGGAUGAUUCUCCCUUCUGCCUUCCCUGGGCCCCUGAUUCUAUUAUCGCUCUGCCUCAUGGAAGUAAGGAGGUGGGCAUCUGGGAAAACAAAUCCUCCAGGCCUGUCCUCCACAUGGGCAUGGAAUGGAGAAUGUGGCCUUGCCUGAGGCUGGGUCUUCCAGAGACCUCCAUGUAUAAUAACAAUAACUACCAGGACCCAAGUGUAUGGAGUUGGGUUACCACAGCCCAGAGGGUUUGCUGGCUCUUCCCUACUUUCCUCAAGUUGCAGAAGGGGAAACUGAGCCACAGGGAGAGUUCCAGAGGUGGCAUGCAAACCCAAGACUGGCUGGUUCCAACUUUCUCAUGCUUUCAUUUAUUUUUAAAUUUUAUUUCAUAGAGACAGGGUCUCCCUAUGUUGCCUAGGCUGGUCUCAAACUCCCGGGUUCAGGCAAUUCUCCUACCUUGGCCUCCCAAAGUCCUGGGAUUACAGGUGUGUCACUGCACCCAGCCCAAAUUCCUAAUUCUUUUUUUUUGAGACGGAGUUUCACUCUUGUUACCCAGGCUGGAGUGCAAUGGCGCGAUCUCAGCUCACCGCAACCUCCGCCUCCUGGGUUCAGGCAAUUCUCCUGCCUCAGCCUCCUGAGUAGCUGGGAUUACAGGCACGCGCCACCGUGCCCAGCUAACUUUUUUGUAUUUUUAGUAGAGACGGGGUUUCACCAUGUUGACCAGGAUGGUCUUGAUCUCUUGACCUCGUGAUCCACCCACCUCGGCCUCCCAAAGUGCUGGGAUUACAGGCGUGAGCCACCGUGCCUGGCCUAAUUCUUUCCCAUUCAUAAUCACUGCCUCCUUGGCUCUGUCAAAAUCACUCCAAAUGCUCUGUUCACAUUCUCACCCCAGGCCUGCAAAGUUGGCUGAGUAGUGAUCUUUGACACUGUUUGACGAUGAAGAAACUGGAGUCCGGAGGCGGGGAGUGAGAGAUCCUGAGUCACACUGCAGUGGAGCCAAGGCCCUGUCCUUUGCCACUGUGAGGAAGAAGGGCAAGAGGGGCUUGGAGUAGGGCUGGCCACAGCAGCUCUCGCAGUCUAUUCAUCUUCUGAGCUGAAAUAUUUAUUUACGCACCCCAUUUAAUCAGGAUAUGCCGUAAUUAGCAGCAGAUUUGUGCCUCCUGCCCACGGAGUUAUUUAUUUCGGGUUCCAGGCAGCCACUUUCCUGGCUGAGUGUGUGCUGGGCCUGGAUUUCAAUCAGAUGGGGCUACGGCAGAGCCGUCCCUUGGGACCUUAUGGCAGCAGUGCCCCCUUCUGAAUGAUAAAUGAGCCCACAGACAGCAGAAAUGCUGUCCA